GCCUAUGGCAAUGCCACCCUGAACAAGCUCGAUGUCUGAUCUUGGAAGCUAAACAGGGUCGGGCCUGGUUAGUACUUGGAUGGGAGACCACCUAGGAAGACCCGGUGCUGCAGGCA
rnacentral:rRNA from 1 species